UAAAUAUAGAUAAAGUUAGGUGUAGCAAUACUUAAUAGAGAAACAGGUGUGAAACCUGUGCUAUCCCGUAGCUGUAAUGUGGAGCGAGUCUUAAAUAUGUCACUGGGAAACUGGGAAGGCAAGAUGAGCGGUGAAGCAGAGCCAGAAGAACUGCCUAAUUUUAGUAGCCAAU
rnacentral:ncRNA from 2 species